CUUCACUCCAGCAGCCAGGAACUCAAUCUUUUAGCUCAGCAGCCAGUAGGAAGCCUUCCUCUAACUGAAGGCAAAACUAAAAACCAUCCUGUGUCUGUGUGAGAUAACACAGUGUGGAGCUGGAGGAACACAGCAGAUCUGAAUGAAGAGAUUGACAACAGUGACACAACAGCUGGUCAAUUGGCACCUGCCAUAGUAUCAUGGAGUUACAGGUCCCAUGGUGGUAUCUGGGAAAGAGCAAAGGUCUUGUCUGAGCGUUUCCCUCAACCUUUUCUUGACAGCGGUGAGGCAGUGGAGGAGUAUAGGUGCCGUGGAUGGUGAGCUGGCUCAGGAUUGG